GACGAACGCUGGCGGCGUGCCUAAUACAUGCAAGUAGAACGCACAGUUUAUACCGUAGCUUGCUACACCAUAGACUGUGAGUUGCGAACGGGUGAGUAACGCGUAGGUAACCUGCCUGGUAGCGGGGGAUAACUAUUGGAAGCGAUAGCUAAUACCGCAUAAUAUUGAUUAUUGCAUGAUAAUUGAUUGAAAGAUGCUAUUGCAUCACUACCAGAUGGACCUGCGUUGUAUUAGCUAGUAGGUGAGGUAACGGCUCACCUAGGCGACGAUACAUAGCCGACCUGGGAGGGUGAUCGGCCACACUGGGACUGAGACACGGCCCAGACUCCUACGGGAGGCAGCAGUAGGGAAUCUUCGGCAAUGGACGAAAGUCUGACCGAGCAACGCCGCGUGAGUGAAGAAGGUUUUCGGAUCGUAAAGCUCUGUUGUAAGAGAAGAACGGGUGUGGGAGUGGAAAGUUCACACUGUGACGGUAUCUUACCAGAAAGGGACGGCUAACUACGUG
rnacentral:rRNA from 1 species